CAAUAGCGUAUAUUAAAGCUGUUACGGUUAAAAAGCUCGUAGUUGGAUUUCUGUCAAGGACAACUGGUCCGCCCUCCGGGUGAGCACAUAGUUUGGUCUUGACAUCUUGCUGGAAGCUGUUGCUGCACUUGGCUGUGUGGCGCAGUGUUCAGCACUUUCACUUUGAGGAAAUUGGAGUGUUUCAAGCAGGCACAUGCCUUUGGACACAGUAGCAUGGAAUAAUUAGAUUGGGCUUUUGCUCCAAUUUGUCGGUUUCUGGAGCUGAGGUGAGUAUUAAUGGGGAUUGUUGGGGGCAUCCGAAUUUAGCCGUCAGAGGUGAAAUUCUUGGAUCUGCUAAAGACGGACAACUGCGAAAGCGUUUGCCCAGGAUGUUUUCAUUGA
rnacentral:rRNA from 1 species